UAUAUAUAUAUAUAUAUAUAUAUAUAUAUAUAGAGAGAGAGAGAGAGAGAGAGAGAGAGAGAGAGAGAGAGAGAGAGAGAGAGAGAGUUGAGCUGGUAUACUAUCAGUAGUAAACGAGUUUCGUUGUCGCCCAUUUAUUUUCGAUGAUUGAGCUUCCAAAUCGACGAUCGGUAUUAUUUAAUAUGAUUUAUACCAUUUGAAAUAUUUAGAAACCAAAUUUCAAAUAUUUUCGACAUUAUUGAUCUAAUGAUCAAAUUACGGGUUUCAAAAUUUAUAAUUUUAAUGAUCGAUAUGAGACGUUUUUUCAUUUAACGAUGUAAAGAUAUUCAAAUCAAUUGAAUUUUGGUUAAAAAUUUUUUUAAACUAUUUAGAACAAGAUCAAUACGCUCAAUUUUGAUUAUAAGAUUCCUAUCAUCACUUUUUAAAGGAUAUUCAUUCUCGGCUAUUUAUUUUUGUAUCAACUUAAUAGGCAAGAGAACAACAUCAGAAAAGCAUGAAAUUUAAUUUCUAGAUGCUUCAAGUGUUAUAGAUCAUGUUCAACGAUGCCGAUCAUCGAUUUGGAGGCUUCAUCAUAAAAAAUAAAUGGGUGGCAAAAUAGCCCGUUUGCUACCGAUAGCAUGCCAGCGCAACUAUAUAUAUAUAUAUAUAUAGAGAGAGAGAGAGAGAGAGAGAGAGAGAGAGAGAGAGAGAGAGAGAGUUGAGCUGAAAUACUAUUAAUCGUAUUUGGCUCUUUUACUAUCAAUUUUUAACCAUUAGAUUUACACUUUAAUCAAUUUUACUCUUUAGAUUAUACUAUUCAAUCAGCCACCUACUCAAUUCCAGAGGAAUCACCACUAAAUCUUAGGAGACCACUAUCAUUCUAAUCCUAUAAUUUUUAAACCAAGGGUUAAAAACUCGAUAGCAAAUGAGCUCAAACACUAUUAAUAAUAUUUCAGCCCAAUUAUAUAUAUAGAGAGAGAGAGAGUUGUGCUGGUAUGCUUAUGGAAGCACGGAGGCCUUCGUGCUUCCAAGUUGUUUUCGAUGUUCGGACUUUCGAAUCGACGAUCGGCUCCGUUAGAGUUGAUCUAGAGCAUUUGAAGUAUCUAGAAAAUAAAUUUUGCGAUUUGUCGAUAUCAUUUGCCUAGUGAUCGAAAGGGCUCAAAAUCAAUAAUUUUAAUGGCCGUGGUGAGCCGGUUGCAAGUUUAACAGUGCAGAAAUAUCCAAAUCACAUAAAAUUUUGAUAGAAAAUUCUUUAUACCAUAUAAAACAAGAUCAAUAACUUUGAUCUAAAAUUUUAAUGUCAUAUCAUCAUAUUUUGUAAGAUUUUU
rnacentral:lncRNA from 1 species